GUUUUAAUAAUUUAAAUAAAAUAUUGGUCUUGUAAAUCAAAAAUAAGAAUUUACCUUUUAAAACU
rnacentral:tRNA from 1 species